GAAGUAGCGAACCUCUGCUCACUGCCCGGGCCCUCCGGGAGGUGAGCAGGAGUUGCGCUUU
rnacentral:pre_miRNA from 1 species